ensembl:lncRNA
UGGUCCAUCAGUGUCUGGAUGUCUUCAUCAUUGAAAUUAAUUUCUGCAAUUUUAAUGAAUUCUUCCACCUUAUUUGAAGGUAUCUUUAUCCCUUAGAAAAGAAGAAUUUGAGAAAUACAAUGAGGAGUCAGUAGGGCUUCUUGGUCUCAUCUGGAUGUCCCCUUCUGCUCUCCCCAUCUCCGAACCACCAUUCUAAACUCCUAUGAGAUCAAUGCUUUUAGGCAUAUAUAAGUGAAAUCACUUGGUGUCUGUUUUGUGCAUGGCUCAUUUCACUUAAUACAAUGGUCUCCACUUCCAUUCAUGUUGUUGUGAAUAAUGAGAUAUUAUUUUUUAAUGACCAACCAGUAUUCGGUUGUAUACAGGCAACAAUUUUUCUUUAUCCACUGUUUACGUUUUCUGUCUAUUAUAAUACCAUGGGAAACUUUUUAAAAUAACUUUUUUUCUCUGAAUACUAUUGCUGGAAAUUCAAGAUCAAUAUUGUUGGAAACGUGCUGAGUGAUCUAAGUGCUGUUAUUUCCUGAUGUUUCUAACAUCUAUCUGUCUUUGUAGAGGAACUGCUGCUUCUAGAUCUUUUAGAGGGAAACCAUUUUGGUGCCCAUUGCCUGUCUAAAGAAUUCAACAGUAGAGAUGGCAAGAUGAAUAAUCUGAAAAUUGCAAAGUAGGGAGAGUGUCUGAAAACAAUAGCAUGGUUCAAGGACCUCAGUGUCACCUGCCGAGAAAGAAACUAUCACAUGCCUUACCUUCAAUAUUCUGCAGUUCUUUUAGCAACCUUUUCUUGUACAGUUUUCUAUUAGCUGCAAGAUAGAAAUGUCAAGUCUCAGGAGAUAAUGCCGUUACUCAGAAGUGGAAUAAAUGUCUGUAACUUAAGAAGCAGAAACUUUUAAAAUGCUAUAUUCUAACAACUAGUAUUUUCAUUCCAAUAAUAAAACUCAGGAAUGAAAACAAAUGCUUGGUGACAUGUUGGUGAUGGAUGGCAUGGGACAUCGUUAUUCAUCACACAAAUUCAUAUGCUUACUACUUCUCCAAGGCUGCUGUGGUAUCUUCUAAUGCUCACCGUCAGUUGGCAGUUUGCCCAGCAGUUUUAUCAUCUUGUUUUCUGGGAGUUUUAUCCCUAUAUUUUUCAGGGCUUUUUGAAAAACCUUAACUCAGCUGGCUCUCUGUUGGACCUUAUAGAUUUGGUGGAUCUCCUUUCUCUCUUCUUGACAGAAUUACCACCCACUGUGGAUCCCAGGUUUUUCUCUGUAAUCAUCUAUAACACAGAGAGACCUCAGCAAGAGCUGAUACUGGACUAGGUUGCUAUGCUGAAAGAAGUACUUUCCUUGGACUGACACUGUCAUGGACCUUACUAAUUUUUAAAGUCGUAUGAAAAAAGUCGCCAUUCUCCAAAGGUUUAAUUACAAACAUGUGGCAGAAUAUAUCAAGGAAGGAAAUACAAACAGAGAUGUGGAGAGAAAGAAGGUGGAGUCAGGCAAAUGCCAAGUAGCCACCCGAGGAGUGAGAUGCUAGAGUAUUACUGUCCAGCAGGUGGCUACUGACAACCUGGAGAUGGGUCUCUAAUGUGUCUCCUAUGGGAUCACCAACCUGAAAAGAAUGUCUCAGGGAAAGAAUUGCUACUUCUGGAACUAAAAUAGUUGUAGUAUUUCACUCAUGUUUCCAGACAGCUGGAAAACAAGGAAAAGCAUGACCUUUGUGACUGGAUUUUAAAAAAAAAGGUCCAAACCAGAGAGACCAUUGCCACCAACUAAAGAAAUGAAAAGGAAUAUACCGGAAUACAAAUGACUUCAUACCAACACUCAGACAAUUCAGACAGAAUGGACACAUUUUCAGAAAGGCAAAAACUAUAGAAUCUGACUCAAGAGGAAGAAGACUAAACUUAACCACAUGGCUUAAGGCUCUUCUGGUGACUUCCCAGUCCAUCCUCCCCACCCUGGACACUUUGGAACUUGAAGCAGAAAUUCUAGCCUUGCAGUGAUCUUGGGAGAUGCUGGAGUAUACAAGGAGUAGAAGAAUGACUGAAGUGAAACUCCAUGAUGCAGCUUCUCGGAGUUGUCAUCCAUGGUGAAGUCGGGCUUUGUGGUAAUGCAGCUGUUCACCCAUGCUCCUAUAGUCAUCCCUCACCCAAGUUCUUCAAAUAUCCCAAUAACUCACUGGCUCACUAAGGACUCCGGAGGAACCAUCUCUUGGUCUCUGGCAUGCUAGUGCAAACAAGGCCAAUACACAGGCCUUACUGGGAAGAAUGAAUGAAAUGGCUUUUGUCUACCA